rnacentral:lncRNA from 1 species
AUGAAAUAUAUAAAAUCUCAGACAUGCUGAGACUUUAACCCCAAUUAAAACGUUUGCUAUUUACAAGCUAGAUUGCAACUGCCCCGCUCAGCACAUCGUGACCAGCCAGAGCUGCAGCAGAGAACUCAUCCACUCAGAUAAAAACCUAAUUGUAUAGUGACCAUCAGAAAAAGAAAAAAACAAACAAACAAACAAAAAACUUUGCAAACUCUUUGCAAACCCAUGCAGAAGAUGGAAAUAAGCCUGCAUGUCAAAAUGGUCAGAAUUCUAAGAAGCAAUGUUUUUAAGGACCUAAUGAACCCCACUGAUAAAGAAUCAAAUAAAAUAUGUCCAUUAAGUAAAUCAUCCUACUUAAACGGUGACUUUCGGAAACAUCAAUAAGAGGUGGGUGUCCACACAUUCUGCUUCAAAAUGUUGUUUUCUUGCCAGGAGAUGUACUAAAUUGAAGACUUCUUCAAAAAAAAAAAAAAAAAAAAAAAAAAAAAGCAUAAACUGCUCUGCAUUUAUCUCACUCAGCCCCUAGAGAUGUGGAUGGCUGUUCUACAGUGUGACAUGUCUAGUCUUACAGAGAUUUAAGUGUGAAACUGCCAACACUUAUUACCAAUUUCAGGGCUUACUACUCUGAGCAGCUCCACUUAGUAAUAUCAUAUUUAUUGUUUUCAGGCAUAAAAGAUGUACUGAGUUGUUUCUAGAUGAUCAAGCUUGGGUGAAAAUCUGGUUUUGCAGAAGUAACUAUAGACUGUAUGGGAAGAUAACUGCUUAAUCAGAAUCAGAGUCUCACUUAAGUGUAUGGUCAAAUGAACUUAAAAUUAAACACAUAAUAUUCAGGAUUUUACUGUGAAUCUUGUGAUAUUGAAGUCUACCACGAGGGAAAAGGUCACCUGUAAAUGGAAACUGUCAUUUACAAUGUUUUAUUCUCUCUCUUAUGCUUGCAGAAACAAACCUCACAACUGUGACCUGAAAAAGUGACCAAGGGCCUAAGAAGGAAAAUGAGCAUCAUAAUCUGAGCCAGCCUUUCAGCUCAGAGGAUUGUUGGUUGACAUAUGGGGCUUUCAACCUCUGUCUCACGGACUGGUUCUCUGUAGCAUGCACACUUUCCUUGCACCGAUGGCAUAUCUUUAUAGCUAUAAUUCAAUAGAAGCUUUCAUGGUCAAGGGAAAGCUUCUUCCUUUUUGGCAGCUGCUUCCUUCCACCAGGGCUGCAGCCUCUUACCCCUGACAGUUGCCAGGCAGUCAGUGAGUUAGACCUUAGAAAAGAGCAGCUCCAUCUGUAGACUCCUGAGAUGCUGUCAUGGAGCAAGCUGUAUGUCAAAACUCAAUGCUCAUUUUUCAGAAAAAGAAUGUCAGUAUUGGGUCUAUAGUAGGCCUCUGUUAGCCUUGCCAGUUAACCAUACAUUUGCAAUCAGAAAGUCAGAAAGCAGUUAUGCACUUCUUCCUCAUUGACAAUGAGACAUCUUCCGGGCUUGACAGCCCACUCUCACAGCAUUGCUUAUGGGAUUUCCAUGCAUUAAAAAAUAACUGACCUUGUCAAUUACUUAAGGGGCUUUUUGUUUUGUUUGUAUACACUAUCAAAAUAAAGAAUUACUGCCCUGCA